UACAGAGGUCUCGAGCGUUGUUCGGAUUCAUUGGGCGUAAAGGGCGCGUAGGCGGCGGGGUAAGUCUGGUGUGAAAUCUCGGAGCUCAACUCCGAAACUGCACUGGAUACUGCUCUGCUAGAGGCUGGAGAGGAGAUCGGAAUUCACGGUGUAGCAGUGAAAUGCGUAGAUAUCGUGAGGAAGACCAGUGGCGAAGGCGGAUCUCUGGACAGCUCCUGACGCUGAGGCGCGAAGGCUAGGGGAGCAAACGGG
rnacentral:rRNA from 1 species